rnacentral:rRNA from 1 species
UACGUAGGGUGCGAGCGUUGCCCGGAUUUAUUGGGCGUAAAGGGCGCGUAGGCGGCCACGCACGUCCGUUGUGAAAUCGCCCGGCUCAACUGGGCGGGGUCGGCGGAUACGGCGUGGCUGGAGCAAGCUAGGGGGCAAUGGAAUUCCCGGUGUAGUGGUGGAAUGCGUAGAUAUCGGGAGGAACACCUGUGGCGAAAGCGGCUCACUGGACCACAACUGACGCUGAUGCGCGAAAGCUAGGGGAGCAAACAGG